GUCCACGCCCUAAACUAUGGAUACUCGACAUCAGCGAUACACUGUUGGUGUCUGAGCGAAAGCAUUAAGUAUCCCACCUGGGAAGUACGAUCGCAAGAUUGAAACUCAAAGGAAUUGGCGGGGUCCGCACAAGCGGUGGAGCAUGUGGUUUAAUUUCGAUGAUACGCGAGGAACCGUUACCUGGGCGUAGAAUGCUGGGAGGACCGUGGGUGGAAAGCUCAUUUGUUAGCAAUACACUGCCAGUAAGGUGCUGCAUGGCUGUCGU
rnacentral:rRNA from 1 species